UACAGGGGGUGCAAACGUUGCUCGGAAUUAUUGGGCGUAAAGCGCGCGUAGGCGGCCACUUAAGUCGGAUGUGAAAGCCCCUGGCUCAACUGGGGAAGUGCACCCGAAACUGAAUGGCUUGAAUGCAAAAGAGGGUCGCGGAAUUCCCGGUGUAGAGGUGAAAUUCGUAGAUAUCGGGAGGAACACCGGUGGCGAAGGCGGCGACCUGGGUUGACAUUGACGCUGAGGAGCGAAAGCAUGGGGAGCGAACAGG
rnacentral:rRNA from 1 species